rnacentral:rRNA from 1 species
GACGUAGGGGGCGAGCGUUGUCCGGAUUUACUGGGCGUAAAGAGCGCGUAGGCGGUCUGUUAAGUCAGAAGUGAAAUCUCCAGGGCUCAACCCGGAAACUGCUUUUGAUACUGAUAGACUUGAGUGUCGGAGAGGUAACUGGAAUUCCUGGUGUAGCGGUGACAUGCAUUGAUAUCAGGAGGAACACCCAUGGCGAAGGCAGGUUACUGGCCGACAACUGACGCUGAGGCGCGAAAGCGUGGGUAGCAAA